GGCCGACUUAACUGUAUAUGUUGUAUCCUUUAUCUCUAGUUCAAUGGGAUAGAUGCGUUUAACAUAGUCACCAAAUUUUGAAUUAUUUACACUCAUGUGGCUAAUCACCUGUAUGUGUUCUUAUGGAUCUCUAUAAAUUACUAUGCUGAUUUAACCGUUGAUCAAAUAAAUCACACUCGUGAGAUUUCGGAUCUAUAUGUAUAGUCAUAUAGCUCGGUAUAGAAGCAUGCAGACUAAACCCUUUAUACAUCACAGUCGUGUGGUUUGUCAUCGGUAUGUUUUUUC
rnacentral:lncRNA from 1 species